rnacentral:rRNA from 1 species
UACGUAGGGGGCAAGCGUUGUCCGGAUUUAUUGGGCGUAAAGAGCGUGUAGGCGGCUAGAUAGGUCCGUUGUGAAAACUCGAGGCUCAACCUCGAGACGUCGAUGGAAACCAUCUGGCUAGAGUCCGGAAGAGGAGAGUGGAAUUCCGGGUGUAGCGGUGGAAUGCGUAGAGAUCCGGAAGAACACCGGUGGCGAAGGCGGUUAGCUGGGCAGUUGCUGACACUGAGGCGCGACAGCGUGGGGAGCAAACAGG